rnacentral:rRNA from 1 species
AUACGGAGGAUCCGAGCGUUAUCCGGAUUUAUUGGGUUUAAAGGGUGCGCAGGUGGCCAUUUAAGUCAGCGGUUAAAUCGUGGGGCUCAACCCCAUUCUGCUGUUGAUACUGGGUGGCUUGAUUGCGGUCGAGGUUGGCGGAAUUCGUUGUGUAGCGGUGAAAUGCAUAGAUAUGACGAAGAACACCGAUUGCGUAGGCAGCUGACCAGACCGCAAAUGACGCUCAUGCACGAAAGUGCGGGGAUCGAACAGGAUUAGAUACCCUGGUAGUCCGCACAGUAAACGAUGAAUACUUGUUUUCGGCGAUAUAAUGUCGGAGGCAAAGCGAAAGCGAUAAGUAUUCCACCUGGGGAGUACGCCGGCAACGGUGAAACUCAAAGGAAUUGGCGGGG